rnacentral:rRNA from 1 species
AUAUCAAUAAGCGGAGGAGAAGAAACCAACAGGGAUUGCCUUAGUAACGGCGAGUGAAGCGGCAACAGCUCAAAUUUGAAAUCUGGCCUUCUGGUCCGAGUUGUAAUUUGUAGAGGAUGAUUUUGGUGCGGUACUUUCCGAGUUCCCUGGAACGGGACGCCUUAGAGGGUGAGAGCCCCGUACGGUUAGAUGCCUAGCCUCUGUAAAUCUCCUUCGACGAGUCGAGUAGUUUGGGAAUGCUGCUCUAAAUGGGAGGUAAAUUCCAUCUAAGGCUAAAUAUCUGCGAGAGACCGAUAGCGCACAAGUA